rnacentral:rRNA from 1 species
UACGAAGGGGGCUAGCGUUGCUCGGAUUGACUGGGCGUAAAGGGCGCGUAGGCGGUUCGUACAGUCAGACGUGAAAUUCCUGGGCUCAACCUGGGGGCUGCGUUUGAUACGUGCGGACUUGAGUGCGGAAGAGGGUCGUGGAAUUCCCAGUGUAGAGGUGAAAUUCGUAGAUAUCGGGAGGAACACCAAUGGCGAAGGCAGCUCGCUGGGACGGUACUGACGCUGAGACGCGAAAGCGUGGGGAGCGAACAGG